rnacentral:rRNA from 1 species
AUUGAACGCUGGCGGCAGGCUUAACACAUGCAAGUCGAGCGGGGGAGGUUGCUUCGGUAACUGACCUAGCGGCGGACGGGUGAGUAAUGCUUAGGAAUCUGCCUAUUAGCGGGGGACAACAUCUCGAAAGGGAUGCUAAUACCGCAUACGUCCUACGGGAGAAAGCAGGGGACCUUCGGGCCUUGCGCUAAUAGAUGAGCCUAAGUCGGAUUAGCUAGUUGGUGGGGUAAAGGCCUACCAAGGCGACGAUCUGUAGCGGGUCUGAGAGGAUGAUCCGCCACACUGGGACGGAGACACGGCCCAGACCCCUACGGGAGGCAGCAGUGGGGAAUAUUGGACAAUGGGGGGAACCCUGAUCCAGCCAUGCCGCGUGUGUGAAGAAGGCCUUUUGGUUGUAAAGCACUUUAAGCGAGGAGGAGGCUACCGAGAUUAAUACCCUUGGAUAGUGGACGUUACUCCCAGAAUAAGCACCGGCUAACUCUGUGCCAGCCGCCGCGGUAACAC